GAUCCUGUACGAAAUUAUAAACUUAUUAUUGGAGUUGCACGUGAGUGAUAUAUCACUUUUACAAUCAAUGAAAUUCAUAUCACAUUUUAUCCUCAUAGGCUCGUAUUCCUCUCUUUCUCUGAAAAGGAAAAAGGAAAAAUCACAAAAUCAAAUCCAAUCUUUCUUUUAUCUCCACUAACCGAUCUAUCUCUGUAUCUAUCUAUCUACUGCAUAUAUCCAUCUACGACAGAGGCAAUGGUGAACAUAGUUUCGACAUCGCCAGUUGUAGUUGUGACAUCGAUGACGAAUAGGAUUUCAAUGUCCGGCCGAUGGUAGUUACGAUUUUUUAGAUCUACCUUCGAUCUAUAUAUUGUUGUGAUUGUGUUAUUUAAAUUGAUUGUAAGUUUGAGUAAUCUUUCUGAUUUAAUUUUGGUUGGUAAAAAAGACAAUAUUUUUGUUAUUGGUAAUUUUAGGUUAUGUGUAUGCUUCUUAUAUAUAUAUAUAAAACUUGGUAAUCCUGAAACAUCUCCAACGACGUGUAUAUAUGUUUGAUGGUUAACAGGUCGUGUCGGACCUGUUAUGCCAGCCUUAACCUCUGGUCAAGGAGACCCAACAUUGUGAUAUUAAGAGCUCUGUGAAAAGUAAAAACUGGAAAGCAAGAUUUCAGAUUAUGGUCUCUUGAAAAUAGAUCAUGCUAAGUUGAUAACCAACAAUACACAUUUCUCGUGUACCAUGGAAGUGGGCACUGUGGGAUAUUGUGGUCCUCUAUAUGUUGUGGAAAUCUUGACAAAAGGGAGUCCAGUGUUUUCGCAUGAUGUUGUUCGAAGUCUUGUGUGGAAGAUUGUGCAUUACAAUGAUGAGUGUAAGCCCCUUGUAGGACUAGCACGGAUCAUUUUGAGUUGGAUAAACUUAAGGAAAUAAUAUUUGAUCAUUUAGAGGAGCAAAUAAAUCCAGAUUUAUUGAAGGCCUUCGCAGCAAUAGCAUAUAGAUUGUGAAGAGAGACUGUGAAGAACGCGUAACAAUGAAUCAGGUCUGGAUGAACUUGAAAUUGCACUAGAUUUACAAGUAUGUUUUCAUUUUCUUUUUCUCUUUAUCUACCUGGGUGAUUAUUAAUAAACACUAUUUGGCAAUUGGCCUGGUUAACACAUUCA